UCAGGAUGAACGCUAGCGGCAGGCUAACACAUGCAAGUCGAGGGGCAGCGCGAGGUAGCAAUACCUUGGCGGCGACCGGCGGAAGGGUGCGUAACGCGUGAGCAACAUGCCCGUAUGAGGGGGAUAAGCGAUGGAAACGUCGUCUAAUACCCCGUAACACAGGAGAUCGCAUGAUCACCUGUUGAAAGAUUCAUCGCAUACGGAUUGGCUCGCGUGACAUUAGCUAGUCGGCGGGGUAACGGCCCACCGAGGCGACGAUGUCUAGGGGUUCUGAGAGGAAGGUCCCCCACACUGGAACUGAGACACGGUCCAGACUCCUACGGGAGGCAGCAGUGAGGAAUAUUGGUCAAUGGGCGGAAGCCUGAACCAGCCAUGCCGCGUGAAGGAAUAAGGCCCUAUGGGUCGUAAACUUCUUUUGACGGGGAGCAAUAAGGGUCACGUGUGGCCCGAUGAGAGUACUCGUCGAAUAAGCAUCGGCUAACUCCGUGCCAGCAGCAGC
rnacentral:rRNA from 1 species